rnacentral:rRNA from 1 species
AGAGUUUGAUCAUGGCUCAGGAUGAAUGCUGGCGGCGUGCCUAAUACAUGCAAGUCGAGCGGUAAGGCCCGUUCGGGGUACACGAGCGGCGGACGCUGAGUAACGCGUGGGAACAUGCCCCAAAGUGAGGGAUAACGCACCGAAAGGUGUGCUAAUACCGCAUAUGGUCUUCGGAUUAAAGGUAUUUAUCCGCUUUGGGAGUGGCCUGCGUACGAUUAGAUUGUUGGUGAGGUAACGGCUCACCAAGUCGACGAUCGUUAAACUGGUCUGAGAGGAUGAUCAGUCAGACUGGAACUGAGACACGGUCCAGACUCCUACGGGAGGCAGCAGUAAGGAAUCUUCCACAAUGGGCGAAAGCCUGAUGGAGCAACGCCGCGUGCAGGAUGAAGGCCCUCGGGUCGUAAACUGCUUUAUGAGUGAAGAAUAUGACGGUAACUCAUGAAUAAGCACCGGCUAACUACGUG